UGGGGAAUAUUGCACAAUGGGGGAAACCCUGAUGCAGCGACGCCGCGUGAGCGAAGAAGUAUUCGGUAUGUAAAGCUCUAUCAGCAGGGAAGAAAAAAUGACGGUACCUGAGUAAGAAGCACCGGCUAAAUACGUGCC
rnacentral:rRNA from 1 species